AGAGUUUGAUCCUGGCUCAGGAUGAACGCUAGCGGCAGGCUUAACACAUGCAAGUCGAGGGGUAGGGAAAGCUUGCUUUCCUGAGACCGGCGCACGGGUGCGUAACGCGUAUGCAAUCUACCUUUUACUAGAGUAUAGCCCAGAGAAAUUUGGAUUAAUCCUCUAUAAUAUCUUUAAGUUUCAUGACUUUUAGAUUAAAGUUUUAACGGUAAAAGAUGAGCAUGCGUCCUAUUAGUUUGUAGGUGAGGUAACGGCUCACCUAGACUACGAUAGGUAGGGGCCCUGAGAGGGGGAUCCCCCACACUGGUACUGAGACACGGACCAGACUCCUACGGGAGGCAGCAGUGAGGAAUAUUGGACAAUGGGCGCAAGCCUGAUCCAGCCAUGCCGCGUGCAGGAUGACGGUCCUAUGGAUUGUAAACUGCUUUUAUACAGGAAGAAACCCCUCUACGUGUAGAGGCUUGACGGUACUGUAAGAAUAAGGAUCGGCUAACUCCGUGCCAGCAGCCGCGGUAAUACGGAGGAUCCAAGCGUUAUCCGGAAUCAUUGGGUUUAAAGGGUCCGUAGGCGGUCAAGUAAGUCAGUGGUGAAAGCCCAUCGCUCAACGGUGGAACGGCCAUUGAUACUGCUUGACUUGAAUUAUUAGGAAGUAACUAGAAUAUGUAGUGUAGCGGUGAAAUGCUUAGAGAUUACAUGGAAUACCAAUUGCGAAGGCAGGUUACUACUAAUUAAUUGACGCUGAGGGACGAAAGCGUGGGUAGCGAACAGGAUUAGAUACCCUGGUAGUCCACGCCGUAAACGAUGGAUACUAGCUGUUGGGCGCAAGUUCAGUGGCUAAGCGAAAGUGAUAAGUAUCCCACCUGGGGAGUACGAACGCAAGUUUGAAACUCAAAGGAAUUGACGGGGGCCCGCACAAGCGGUGGAGCAUGUGGUUUAAUUCGAUGAUACGCGAGGAACCUUACCAAGGCUUAAAUGUAGAUUGACCGGUUUGGAAACAGACUUUUCGCAAGACAAUUUACAAGGUGCUGCAUGGUUGUCGUCAGCUCGUGCCGUGAGGUGUCAGGUUAAGUCCUAUAACGAGCGCAACCCCUGUUGUUAGUUGCCAGCGAGUCAUGUCGGGAACUCUAACGAGACUGCCAGUGCAAACUGUGAGGAAGGUGGGGAUGACGUCAAAUCAUCACGGCCCUUACGCCUUGGGCUACACACGUGCUACAAUGGCCGGUACAGAGAGCAGCCACUGGGUGACCAGGAGCGAAUCUAUAAAAC
rnacentral:rRNA from 1 species